rnacentral:rRNA from 1 species
UACGGAGGGAGCUAGCGUUAUUCGGAAUUACUGGGCGUAAAGCGCACGUAGGCGGCUUUGUAAGUAAGAGGUGAAAGCCCAGAGCUCAACUCUGGAAUUGCCUUUUAGACUGCAUCGCUUGAAUCAUGGAGAGGUCAGUGGAAUUCCGAGUGUAGAGGUGAAAUUCGUAGAUAUUCGGAAGAACACCAGUGGCGAAGGCGGCUCACUGGCUCGAUACUGACGCUGGAGGUGCGAAAAGCCGUGGGGGAGCAAAACAGG